AAUUAGUUAUGCACAUCUAUUUAAUUUGUACAAAAUACCGCAUUAUUAUUUAUUUAAACUUCAAUUCUAUGAUAGGGAAUAGGGUGAGGGGUUCUUACUCGAUUUGACAUUGAAAAGCUAAACGUUUUACUGCGCCUAUAAGAGGUCUCUAGGUUUCCUGAAUUUUUCUCUAGAAAUUGAAACGCGCUUAUAGUGCCUAAAAAUGUUAUAAAUAAAUCCAAAAUCAGUCACAGGGCCUGCUUGGCCAAUUUUGAAAAUCUGGCACGGUGACUGCGCCGCUGCCUGCGUCGGCGAUCUGCUCAGGUAGGCCAUUUUUGGCCGAAUUCGGUCGAUUUUGCAUCGAUUUCUACGAGCACACACGCUAAUGGACCUCGG
rnacentral:lncRNA from 1 species